GUAUAAAGGCGAGGCCGGCAGACCCCGGCAUCAGUCGACGACAGCAAACCGAAGGCGACACCAUGAAGACUCUCGUGUUCCUGUUUGUGGUGCUGGCUGUGGUGUGCGUGGCUCUGGCUGUGCCUGGCCCGCUGCCUCUACCACGUCCCGGUCCAGUACCGAUCGCGGCUGCUCCCAGGGAGUCGCUGCGUGGCAGCGAGCAGGUCUACUACGGAUACUACCCAUAUGUUGUUGGCUAAGUGCAAUGACAGUGGCGAACGGCUUCCAAAUCGGCAUCACUGUGGAGUUCACACACACCUUUUGGCUAACUUUUUUUGUUUGUCUAUUACAUCUGAAACUGACUUUAAUUCUGAAUAAAUUUUCCACUUCCUAUUGAAAA